CAAAGUGCUCAUAGUGCAGGUAGUUAAUGCACCCAAAUCUACUGUAAUGUGGGCACUUACAGU
rnacentral:pre_miRNA from 1 species